GAAAUGCGAUAAUUAAUGUGAAUUGCAGAAUUCAGUGAAUCAUCGAGUCUUUGAACGCACAUUGCGCCCCCUGGUAUUCCGGGGGGCAUGCCUGUCCGAGCGUCAUUGCUGCCCUCAAGCACGGCUUGUGUGUUGGGCUUCCGUCCCUGGCAACGGGGACGGGCCCAAAAGGCAGUGGCGGCACCAUGUCUGGUCCUCGAGCGUAUGGGGCUUUGUCACCCGCUCCCGUAGGUCCAGCUGGUAGCUAGCCUCGCAACCAAUCUUUUUAACCAGGUUGACCUCGGAUCAGGGAGGGAUACCCGCUGAACUCAAGC
rnacentral:misc_RNA from 1 species